rnacentral:rRNA from 1 species
UUCCGAAGAUUAAGCCAUGCAUGCCUAUGAUUAGAAAGUGUUUGUAGCAUCGAAUCUGCGAACGGCUCCGCAUACCAGUUGCAACUUAAGACCAGCCAAUUGGGCAAAUAGAAGGAAUGACCAGGGUAAGGAAAGGGCGUUGUUGGCUGCCAGGCGGGAUACUCUGGGAAACCGGGGCCCUGCUAGGAGUAUGUCGAUGGCUAACCCGGACCUACUUUUGUAGCUUUGCUUUGAAAGGUCCGCUAUUAAAACGGAUAUCCAUGGUAAUUCUGUGGCAAAUACGAGAGAGUGAGUGGAUUUCCCCGAUUCAGGUACUCGCAAGGGUGCUUGUCUUAGGGGUCCGGAGAGCAUUUCAUCCCCAUUAAAAUCGAUCAGUUACUUGGCCCGGUGGAGGGCAAGCUUAAAAUUAUACACAACCGCAUGAAACAGUAGUCUCUGGUGGGGCCGUCUUAUGGCGGCUCUUGGCCUAAGGCUUCUGACCUAUCAACUCACGAUGAAAGCGCUUCCGGUCCGCUAUGGUCGCAACGGGUACAGAGGAUUAGGGUUUGAUCCUGGAGAGUGGGCCUUAAAAAUUGCUCACACUUCUAAGGAAGGCAGCAGGCGCGCAACGUUCCCAGUGGGCAAAGCCCGAGGGCGUGAAGGGAUAUAUCGGAUCCUGCCUCUUUAAAAGGUGGGUUACCGGAAUGAAUCUAAGUUAAAUACAUAGCCAAGAGUAACAAUUAGAGGACAAGUCUGGUGCCAGCACCCGCGGUAAUUCCAGCUCUAAUAGCAUACGAUAAAGUUGCUGCAGUUGAAACGCUCGUAGUCGUAGUAAAUUACUACAUAAAUUAUCAUCAUCAAGGGGGGUUUUAAGGGCAUCUAGUUUUACUAUUAGGUCGCCUAUUAUAGCGAGGAAAGCAAUGGUUAUGUUUAAUGGCAGACUCAGUUAAGGCUUUUAUUGGUGUUGAUUUUAGCCCGGACUUACCAUGAAUAAACUAGAGUGAUCUAAGCAAGUCAGAUACUAAACCAAAAUGACAACAUGAAUAUUCCAGCAUGGUAUAACACAUGGCGGGCGUGGUAGGCUUGGGGAAACCUGAGCUUGCCGAGGGGAUAAUACAGGUCGGGGGCAUCGCGCUCUCACGCCGCAAGGCAACCGUGUCCUCUAGUCAGCCAAGUCGUUGAUCGUAACUCAAUAAAUCCUUCUGGCCAAGGGCAACCUUGGUCGGGGGGGCGAGAGCGUGGUGUCAAUAGGUCAACAGGGGUGUUCGGGGCUGGCAGAAUCGCUGGGCGAGGGGUGAAAUCCGUUGACCCUAGCGAGUCUACCAAGUGCGAAAGCAGCUGGCAAGGGCACUUUCAUUGAUCAAGAGCGAAAGUUAAGGGUUCGAAGACGAUCAGAUACCGUUGUAGUCUUAACCAUAAACGAUACCGGCCAGAGAUGGGGAGAAAAGUCCUUCUUGACACCCCCCGCCUCCCGGCGAAAGUUGAAGCGUUUGGGUUCCGGGGGGAGUAUGGUCGCAAGGCUGAAACUUAAAGGAAUUGACGGAAGAGCACACAAGGAGUGGAGCCUGCGGCUUAAUUUGACUCAACACGGGAAAGCUCACUAGGUCAAGAUGCUUGAAUGAAGGACCAGCUGAUAGACUUUUCCCAAUAUAGUAAGUGGUGGUGCAUGGCCGUUCUUAGUUCGUGGAUUGAUUUGUCUGGUCGAUUCCGCUAACGAGCGAGACGUAAACGUUCUAAAUAGGUUGUCCCCUUGACUUUAAUAGUAAAAGGAGGUACUUUCGACAUUGUAAAAUUCAUUAAUACGAGAGAGAAUUCGAGCAGUGCAUAGCUCAAUUGAAGUGCAUACGGUUAAUUGGAUACUCAUUCGCUGGGUUAUGAGUUUGAAAUAUUCUUCUUAGAGGUAUCGGGGCUGAAAAAGUCCCAUAAACUACGCAAUAACAGGUCUGUAAUGCCCUUAGAUGUCCUAGGCCGCACGCGCGCUACAAUGGUGCGUUUGUGACGGGUCCUAGAUAUUAAAAACCUGGUUGGCCCCUGGACGCAAGAAAGGGGGUCUUCCAGGCUCUACCCCACUCCUACAGGUGCUCACGAGAAGGGGCUCCGUAAAAAAGAGCCUCUGAUCUGGGCAAUCCCUCAAUACCAAACCUCGUCUGGGCCUGCCUUUUGUAAUUAUAGGACACCAACGAGGAAUUUCUAGUAGGCACGGGUCAUCAGCCCGUGCCGACUCUGUCCCUGCUCUUUGUACACACCGCCCGUCGCUGCUACCGAUUGGAUUGUCCGACUACGCCUGUGGAGUUGCUUGAAGGGUCCCUCACGGGAUUCGACUCGUGGCGAAGCAGAAAUUGUCGGAUAGU